GACGAACGCUGGCGGCGUGCUUAACACAUGCAAGUCGAACGGAAAGGCCUGCUUUCCCUUGUGGAUUGCGGGUGCUCGAGUGGCGAACGGGUGAGUAACACGUGAGUGAUCUGCCCCCAACUUGGGUAUAAGCCCGGGAAACUGGGUCUAAUUCCCGAUAGGACUGCAGGGUGGUGCCUGUGGUGGAAAACGAUUUUCUAGUGGUUGGGGAUGAGCUCGCGGCCUAUCAGCUUGUUGGUGGGGUAAUGGCCUACCAAGGCGGCGACGGGUAGCCGGCCUGAGAGGGUGGACGGCCACAUUGGGACUGAGAUACGGCCCAGACUCCUACGGGAGGCAGCAGUGGGGAAUAGUGCACAAUGGGCGGAAGCCUGAUGCAGCGACGCCGCGUGGGGGAUGACGGCCUUCGGGUUGUAAACUCCUUUCGACCGCGAGGAAGCCACCUGGUUGGAAGGGUGGUGACGGUAGUGGUAGAAGAAGCACCGGCUAACUACGUG
rnacentral:rRNA from 1 species